UACGGAGGAUCCAAGCGUUAUCCGGAAUUACUGGGCGUAAAGAGUUGCGUAGGUGGCAUUGUAAGUAGGUAGUGAAAGCGUUCGGCUCAACCGAAUAAACAUUAUCUAAACUGCAAAGCUAGAGGACGAGAGAGGUUAUUGGAAUUCCUAGUGUAGGAGUGAAAUCCGUAGAUAUUAGGAGGAACACCGAUGGCGUAGGCAGAUAACUGGCUCGUUUCUGACACUAAGGCACGAAAGCGUGGGUAGCAAACGGG
rnacentral:rRNA from 1 species